rnacentral:rRNA from 1 species
GACGAACGCUGGCGGCGUGCUUAACACAUGCAAGUCGAACGGAAAGGCCCUGCUUGCAGGGUACUCGAGUGGCGAACGGGUGAGUAACACGUGGGUGAUCUGCCCUGCACUUCGGGAUAAGCCUGGGAAACUGGGUCUAAUACCGGAUAGGAGCCAUUUUUAGUGUGAUGGUUGGAAAGUUUUUUCGGUGUAGGAUGAGCUCGCGGCCUAUCAGCUUGUUGGUGGGGUAAUGGCCUACCAAGGCGGCGACGGGUAGCCGGCCUGAGAGGGUGGACGGCCACAAUGGGAAUGGGGAACGGCCCAGACUCCUACGGGGGGCAGCAGGGGGGAAUAUUGCACAAUGGGCGCAAGCCUGAUGCAGCGACGCCGCGUGGGGGAUGACGGCCUUCGGGUUGGAAACUCCUUUCGCUAGGGACGAAGCUUUUUGUGACGGUACCUAGAGAAGAAGCACCGGCUAACUACGUG